AGAUGAUUUAUGAGAAGCACUAGAGCGUAACUUGUGUGCAGAAGGCCGGACGGGUCACAGAGGUGACUCCGGUAGAGUGAUAAUGAUAGAUUUUGAGCUCUAGGUUCAACCGUAUAGGGCUAUUAGAGGGCCUACGGUUGAUUACUUUCUUGCACCUGAUAUGAUUAUGUUGAUGCAUUCAUACCUUAUUACUGUUGAAAUGAUGUGGCAUGGCAUAAUUAAUAUGAGAAAUGUUGAGAUGACAUGGCAUGGCAUGAUUGAUAAAAGAUAAUGUUGAGAUAGUAAAAUGAAGUUUUGAGAAUAUAUAUGUAUAUUUUAUAUUUUACAUUUCUGGGAAAGUAUAUACAGGUUUUACGGAGAGGGGUUACAACGUUUUGAGAAAUGUUUGGAUUUGGAAAAGAGAAUUGUUUUACUGACCCACUCAAUUUUGGUUUUGCGCCCCUCCAGGUUCAGGGAAUCACAAAAAGGUGUGGUGACUACGAGGAAUUCGACGGUGUUCUGACAGAUUGGACAAAAUUAGGACUCACCUUCGGGUGUAUCAAUUUAAAUUGUAUCUUAAAGCUUCCGUACUGUGCAAAUGGUUACGUCACUCUCACGUGACGGCCAGCAUACCCUCCUUCGGGACGGGGUGUGUCAGUUGGUAUCAGAGCAUGGUUGCAAUCUUGGGACAUCUUGAGAAGUUCUAGUGAAUUCUGUCAGAAACUACACCGCCUCGUAGUAAGCCACUUAGUUGGAGGAAUUUAGUCUCCCUAAUAUAGCGGUUUAGGGAAAACUAUUAUUAUGGUGAUUCAGUCUAUUAUAAAAAGGGACAUUUUAAGACGGAUUAUAAGUCGAAUUUGAAUCACCUUAUGAAAUGAUGAACCUGAGGGAGCGAAGUAACGGUUUAACCAUUUGGAAAAGAUGUUUCGGAAUAUGCAAGUCAAAGGAAUCUUCCUUCUGACAGGGGGUCGAGACGACUACCUGGUUUUGGGUAUGAAUUUUGUAUCCUGGUGGAAAACAGGAGUAUUGAUGUGUUGUCACCGGAGGAACAGCCCGAUUUUAAAAUUGUUUAAGGACUUGUUUAAGGGAAAAAGUUUAUCCUCCGGCAUUUAUCGAUGGUAGUAAACAAGAGUUUACAAAUAUGAGACAAGGAAGGUGAUGAUCGAGGGGAUAUUAUAGAAAGUUUUCAGACUUGCCUCGUUCCAUCCAGAUAUGGUUGUUAUUGGUGGAGGUGUUAUGUUGUUUUAAGCUGGGUGGCAAAAAAAGGGAAGUGGUAUUUUGGGUGACCACUAUCCAUUAUACUUCUUACCAGGAAUAUACGAGAUGCUGUUGAGUCUUGAGGACUCUGAGAACAUGAUCAACGAGAAUAAAGAAGAAUAAGAAAUGAAUGGGAAUUAAAAGAAGACGAUAAAGUUAAUGAUUCGUCUUAUCAAGGAUAUAGAAAGAUUCAGAGCUUCGAAAGAAGUGAAGCUAGAGUUAAUUCUUCCAGCUGAGGUUUUAAUGUCGCUGGUCAGAGUAAAAGUGAUGGAUAUACUAGUAAUCCCAGAUAUUUGAGACAAGGUGUCUCGAGUAAAGGAAAUGUACUUUGUGCAGCAGGUACAAAAUUAACACUUUGAGAAAUGUGAAAUCAAGGAAUGUGUUUAUGUGAAUAGAGGGGACGCAGAAUUGUGAAUUGCCCCUAGAAUUAGUUGUACUCAACAAUUUUCCAUGAUAUCAUAGUGUCGAUUCAGCAGAGUUAUGGACUUAGUAGUUUGGUCGGAUUGACCGUGAGUAAGAGAGAUUUGAUGAGUUAUAUGUUCAGCCGUACAGACCAUGAGAAAUGGAUUCGACUGACACAUGAGAAAUUGGUGAGUUAUAGGUUCGGCCGUACUGACCACGCGGAGUGGAUCCGGCCGACGUAUUAUUGAGAUAAGAGUUGAAUCAGCCGUAUUGAUCAUUCUAGUUGACUUCGGCUGAUAUAUUUCUUAUUAUGUAUGUUAUUACCUAGAGAGUAGUAAAUAAAUGUAGUUGAGACGAGUGUAUGUAUUUUGCAUUGAGUGACAAAAUAGUAAUGUUAUAUCUUUGUGAGUGGUUGCCUACUUAUCGAGACAACGAUGAUUUAUCAGUAUUGCGGGCUGCAGACCGUAAUAUUAAUAACUCAUUCGUGGAUUCGUUAAGUAAGUAAACCGGUAGAUUAUUUUGUACUUAUUUGGAAUGCUUAAUAAUAAUAGAAUAUAUAUUGUAUCAGUUAAUUUUGUUCCAUUAGAUUGGUUGGUUAUAAUUGUGACAAGACGGAAUGUUACGGGAAACCAGUAUUUUCCAUCGAUCUGGAUGAACAGAGAUUACUUUUGUAAGUAUGCAAAAUGGAUUGAGUCAGGCUGUUAUUUAUGCUGUGAGAGCAAAGAGAUUGUUUUCGAAAGGCUGUCAAAAAUACUUAGCUCAUGUGGUGCUAAAUGAUGUUGUUUGGAGUAGUGUGAAUAAUGUUGAAAGGGUUAGAUUUUCUUGAUGUCUUCCCUGAAAGUAUACCUGGAUUGCCUUCAGCAGAGAUAUGAGGUUCACUAUUGAUUUGUUGCCAGGUAUAAAUUUAUGUUAAAGAUUGGUUCAUGAUGAGUUAAGGGAAUUGGAAAUUCAGUUGAAAGAAUUGGUUGAUAAAAAUUUUAUUCAACCUAGUACAACGCUUUGGGGGAGCCCCAGUUCGUUGGUAAGGAAGAAAAUGGGCUUUAAGACUAUCCAUUGAUUAUAGACAAUGGAGUCGGGUAACGAUUGAGAACCGUUAUCCAUGGUGAUGUACUGAUGUUUAUUUAACCAGCUCAGAAGUAAUUGCGAAGAUUCAAAGAUUGAAUUGAGGUCUGGUUAUUACCAAUUAAAGAUUAUGAGCGACGUUGUUCUUAAGAUUGUUUUAUGAACUAUGGUGAUGCUAUAUGGAUACUCAUGCUGUUUUAUGAGUUAUUGGAUGAAGUAUUCCAAUAAUGCCUUGAUAAAUAGAUAUCAUUUUCAUUGAAGAUAUUCUGGCAUAUUCUGAGCCAGAGCAGAGCAUGUAAAUGUAUUAAGUCGGUGGAACAAAGAUUGGAAGAAUGUCGGUUGUAUGCUAAGUAGCAAAUGCUAAAGUUAGAUGAAUCAGGUGGCAUUCUGAGAUUUGUUAUAUAUUCUUAAGGUAUUCAAGUGAAUCCUUAAAAGAAUAGCAGAAAUUGAGGAAUUGGAACAACCACGAACUGUAAUUAAGAUUCGGAAUUUCUUAGCUUACCAGGCUAUCUUGGAUGGUUGUGAAAGAUUUUUCAGUCAUUGCUUUGUCAUUGAUGAGACUGUUGAGAAAGGAGGUUAUGUAUGAGUGGGAAGGAAAUUGUGAGCAAAGGAUUCAACAACUGAAGUAUUUCCUCACUCAUGCACGUAUUUUGGUUAUUCCAAAAGAAUAGUGGUAAUCAUAAAUUUUUAGUGAUGUUUCUUGAAUGGUAUUGGAGGCAUGUUGAUGCAAAUGUUAGGGUGAUUGCAUACGUUUCACGAUAAAUGGAAUCUUCAUAAGAUGAAUUACCCUACGGGUGACUUGGAAGUCAUGAUUACCAUUCUUGCUGUGAAGUUAUGAAGGCAUUAUAUUUGGUAAGAAUGCAAGAUUUUUACGAAUCCAAAAAGUCUUCAAUAUCCAUUACUUGGAAGGAUUUUGAUAUGAGGCAGCGAAAGUGAAUUGUAUUGCUUAAUGAACAUGAUUGUACGAUCAGGGUGAUCGUAAAGUUUGUUCUAGCUCAAGCACUUGGUGAGAAGACUACAGUAAGAUUAAUGUCUGGCACGUUUGCCAAGAGUAUCAUCUUGUGGAUUGAAAACCAACGGAAGAAAAAUUAAGAAUGGAAGAUCGAGAAGAAGUUAUACUUGUUAAGUAACAAGUUAGUACAUUUACUCCAGUGUUGAGUAACAACCUUUCCCAGACAGUGCAACAUUACUUAUUUGUUUUAUGGAAAAGAGAAUUGGUUUACGGAACUGUUGAGUUUCUUAAGUAUGUUGGUUGUGCAGUUUCCGAAGUAACGCCAUAAGGAUCAUGAAAUGUGUCAUGUGAGUCGGUUUUUGAUGACUUGUGAAUGGAAUGUUUCUGGGUAGAGAAGGAUUCGAUCAAGAAAGAGUUUUAGUAGACCCUGAGACUAUGGAUGAGUUUCCUCAAAGUAUUCAGGUGAUUAAGUUAACCUGAAGUAACCAGGAAUGGCAAAAGAGAUCAACAGAUGGAUAUGCCACUAAUCGAGUGUGUAAGGUAAAUGGUUUGAUAUUUUUGGAAAAUUCACCGCGAACAGAAAUGACGAGAAUUGGAAAAGAGACAAGAUAAGAUUUAGACACAUCAGACCAUUUUUUUUUUUUUUUUCACUAAAGGAAUCAAUAAAGUUGCAUACAAGUUUGUGAUGCCUUCAGAAUUGGCUAAGGCACAUAAUGUAUUUUGUGUUCGAUGCGUUGUCACUAAGUGGCAGAGUCGUUACAUGGGACUUUGGUGCAACUAUUGAGAAUUAAGCCGGAUCUGAUUGGUGAGGAACUAAUGUCGACUUUGGAUUGGAAAAAGAAGGUCCUAAGAAUUAAGACAGAGUAAGUAGUAAAAAGCUUUGUGAAGGAAAUCAUUCAGUAGAAAAUUACAUGGGAGACAGAAGAACGGAUGAGAGUUAUGUAUCCGAGACUAUUUUAUGAGUUUUGAUGUUCUGGUUGGUGAUUGGAAUUUCGGGGACGAAAUUCUAUAAGGAGGGGAGAUUGUCACAGCCCGUCCCGGAAUUAUUAAUUCCGAGGACGUGAGAUGACCAAUGUGACCUUAAACGGGAUUAAGGUGUGUAAAUGUAUGACAUUUGUUUUUACUUUAAGAUCCUAAACUAGGGUUAGAUUUAUAUUUGUAUGUGUUAAUUUGUGCUUGGACUUAGGUAGGGCCUCCUACCCUGAAUUCCCUCCCUAAAACCCGUAACCUUUCUUCUCUCUUCUUCUUUCAUUCCAGACUCUCUCUCUUAUUCUUUUCUGAAAACUCUCUCAUUCUCUCUCUUACUCUCGAACUCACGGCAACCACCAAGAACCACCACAAUCUUGUACCAACGUUCCAUUUAAGACCACCAUCGUGAUCCUGGGGACUUCACGAGCACGGGGAUACCAAUUUCAGGUGAGUUUCACUUCGAAAACCCUAGUUCUAAAGUUGCCGUGAGAUGACACUGUUCAUGAGCUUUGAAUUGGUUACGUUUUAGGCUAAAACAAGAUCACAGCGAGUUUAGUAAGGUCCCAAGGAAGCUCGGAGUGCUUCGUUGGAAGUUUUUGGACGUAAGAACACGGAGAUCGACAAGUUCAAAGUUUGGCCGGAGCUUUCGAGGCGUUUUCCGGCGAAUCCCCGGAGAGUUAGGAGUCGAGGUAGGUAUCAAUCUCUUCGUCUCGUCAAGUACUACAACUUUCCUUUUUGUUUCACUCAAUUUCGUUGAGUAUUUAAGAAGUUAUACUCAUUUGAAAAAUACCCAGUUUCCGGCGACCUCCGAGGCUUUCGAGGCAGUUUCCGGCCAAACCACGGCGAACUAGGUGUUGUGCAAGGUACCAUUCUCUUUGUCUCUUCAAGGGCUACAACUUUCGUUUUUUAAUCACUUGAUUUCGUUGAGAAAUGACAAAGUUAUGGAAAUUUGAAAAACGGCCGCCGGAAAAACCAGUCCGGCGACCCAAGGAAGAAGAAGUGCGCGCGUGGGGCGCGUAGGUCCGUGCCUUCCUUGGCGCGUGGGGGCGCGUUCUACAGUAAAAAAUUAUUUUAAAAAUAUGUCGACGUCCGUGACGUCGAGUAGAUCACUGUGGUAUAUUCAUAUACCUAAAUUGAACACCGUAUGAGAAAGUUAUUGAGGAUUGUUGGUUAGGUGUUCAAAUAACGUUUUAUAAUUUUCACAUUUAGGUGAAAAUGUGAAUUGACGGAGAUCCGACCGUUGGAUGGUAAUGAAAUUUUAGGAUGUUGUCCUAGAGGUAUAAUGUGGACCUCUGGAAGUUAUGGAUUUAAAAUCUGAGGGGUGGAUCUUCCGGAUCAAUCUACGUAGUGACGUAUUUUAUAUAAGUUAUAUAUUCUAUCGAUAUGAAUUCUGAGGUUGGAAUUGAUUAUUGUUUUAGGCGCCGAUCGUCAUGACGCCUUGGCGUAUUGUGCUAGGGAGUUGUAGGGCGAACUCCAGGUGAGUGGGCAGUUUUAUUUUCCGUAUAUAUAUAUACUUGACGUUUCCCAGAAAUUGAAUUGAAAUGAAAAUAUGUUUAAAAUGAAAUGCAUAUGAGUUAUGUGGAAAAACGGGAAGUGAAAUACCAUGCAUAGAAUUGAUAUGAAAAGUAUAUAGAAAUGUGAGUUGAAAUGCCAUGCAUGAAUUAAUAUAUGAUGCAUAUGUAUGAAUUGGUGCGGUGGACGCACAGGUAAGAAUUGAUUUAUGAUGCAUAUGUAUGAAUUGGUGCGGUGGACGCACAGGUAAGAAUUGAUUUAUGAUGCAUAUGUAUGAAAUGGUGCGGUGGACGCACAGAUGAGUAUUUAAUUACUGUUAUGAUGAUGAUGAUAUAUAUUGAGCUCAAAUCCUGCACCAUGGUUUAGUGCUUAUAGUAUUCACCGCAUCGCACGCUCGCCUUGGAUCCAAGUAGAUGCUAGUCGUACAGUCCACGCGGAGUGGGUACGACAGGCCAGUCGCGAGAGUGUUAGUGAGAUUCCGACUGGUGGGUGACCUUAGAUUAUGUGCACAGAUGAUUUAUGAGAAGCACUAGAGCGUAACUUGUGUGCAGAAGGCCGGACGGGUCACAGAGGUGACUCCGGUAGAGUGAUAAUGAUAGAUUUUGAGCUCUAGGUUCAACCGUAUAGGGCUAUUAGAGGGCCUACGGUUGAUUACUUUCUUGCACCUGAUAUGAUUAUGUUGAUGCAUUCAUACCUUAUUACUGUUGAAAUGAUGUGGCAUGGCAUAAUUAAUAUGAGAAAUGUUGAGAUGACAUGGCAUGGCAUGAUUGAUAAAGAGAUAAUGUUGAGAUAGUAAA
rnacentral:lncRNA from 1 species